AGGCGGAAGGGGCUGGUUAUAUUAUAUGUUGUACAGAUCCCCCCACCGACAACGUGUUAAUAGUUUCGGCCGCGUCUAUGUUUCCUCCCUUCUUAAGAGGGUGAUACCAUUGAAGAGGGGUAGACCUGUCCCUCCGUCAACACCCCCCGUUGCGCAAAGAUACCAGAUGUUUCUGCAGAGUUCACUUGUUUCUGCUAGUGCCAAAAUCAGUGUUGGAUGAGAGCCUUCUGCUGAAAUUUACACAUCUUGGAUUCUGCAAACUUUCUUUGAGCUAUACAGUGUUCUCUUUGCGAAGGAUGAGCCAAUUGUGCUAUAUCCCACUUUGAGGUGUGAGACUGGAACACUGUCACUGCGCUCAGACUGUUUAUGAUGGAACCUUCUGUGAAUACGAAAAGUCUGAAAUAUGGUGUGUGUUUUUCCCAUAUGAAGUACUGGGAAAAUAUCUUCCAUAAAAAUAUUUUCCAAUAACUUUCCCAUGUUCUCUGAUGUCCUAUAUUUGUUAUGUUAUAUUGAGAUUCCAUCUCUCUUCCUAUCAUUGGGCAAUAUCUCACUCCUUUCUCUCUCCUUUUUAAUUAACCAUCUUCCCAUAUCGUUCAUUAUAAUUAUAACUGUCUCUGUAUCUAUAAUAUCUAUAUCUCUAUAAUAUGCCUAAUAAACUGACACUACAAAUGAAA